UGGGGAAUAUUGCGCAAUGGGCGAAAGCCUGACGCAGCAACGCCGCGUGAGUGAUGAAGGUUUUCGGAUCGUAAAACUCUGUCUUUAGGGACGAAUGGUAGUUUUGUGAAUAAUGGAGCUACAUGACGGUACCUAAGGAGGAAGCCCCGGCUAACUACGUGCCAGCAGCCGCGGUAAUACGUAGGGGGCAAGCGUUGUCCGGAAUUACUGGGCGUAAAGAGCGUGUAGGCGGGUGAUUAAGUCAGAUGUGAAAACCCAGGGCUUAACCUUGGGAGUGCAUCUGAAACUGGUUACCUUGAGGACAGGAGAGGAAAGUGGAAUUCCUAGUGUAGCGGUGAAAUGCGUAGAUAUUAGGAGGAACACCAGUGGCGAAGGCGGCUUUCUGGCCUGUAACUGACGCUGAGACGCGAAAGCGUGGGGAGCAAACAGG
rnacentral:rRNA from 2 species